GCCUGCGCCCGGCCCCGAGCGGCGGCGUUGUGUGCGGCCAGUGCCCGUGAGGGGCUGCGCCCUCAGCGGCGCCGCCGGGGCGGGCCCGGCCGCACGGAGAGGCGCUGCGGGAACCGGGGCUGCAGGGCUACUACCGUCCCCCGGGCUGCGAGGAGUGAGAGACACGGAGAGUUUGUUUGCAGAAACAAGCUCGGAGGGACAAGUCGAGAGGCGGAAAAAGAAGUCUGAAAAUCUUUCAGAUAAGAAAAGUCUCAAAGGAACAGUCUGCUUUUGCUAAGAGUGGAAAUGCCUCUGCUGAAAUGAUCUUGUGGAAAUAGGAAGAUGCAAGAAGAAAAUGUUCAAGUAAUCUGUAAAGCCUGCACAAUGCUACAAACAGAAGGAAAGUUCACAUAAGAAAAUGAGAGUUGGUGGAUAGUGAUUGAUCGGUAUCAUAUGCUGUCCUCAUGUGGUAUGUAUGUAUCUGUUUUCCACAAUUAAUGAAAACCCUGUUGUUUUUUCUACUCUACUUCUAAAACAUGCCUUUCUUUUUGUGAUGUCUGUGACUUUCAGUGUUGUUGGGACUUAGUUCCAUUCUUUCCAGUGUUUUUUUUAUUUUUUGCAAUAAUUACAUUAGCUGCCAUCUCCAAAGAGGAAACCAGUUUUUCCAGUUAUAAAUGAGAUUAACUGUGAAAAGUGAGAAAAGGAAGAUGCUGAGGGUGUACCUGAGCAGUAUUUCUACAGCACUUCCAAAAGGUAAUACAAGAUAAUGUUUUGAGAGAACAAUGUGGGCAGAGUAAAGGAGGUAAGUCCUGUACUUCUAGUUAAAUGAUAUUUUUCGUUAUUGUGGGAAAUAUAUCUAUCUAAAUUGCUUUUCUCUGUUUUCCAAAUAUCUUGAAGUUGGAGGCUAGCAUGCACAGGGAGGUUGUUGGUGUGGUUUUCUGUAUUUGCAUGGUGACUUUCAGAAGACCUUAGGGGUGGAAGGAGGGGAAAUAUGUUGGUUUCAUUGCGAGAAUCAGCCUCGAGCUAUACCAUGAUCUUUGCUUCUUCUCCAGCCUCUAACCAGGGUAUGUUGGGACUUCACUUUGUGGGGAUGAGGCAAGUGGAGGCACAAUAGAGACAGGUGAGAUUAUAGAAAACAGUAUUUUUGCUUGUUAGCUCAAAUCAGGCUCUCAGGAAGAAGAUAACUGAGGCAACACCUAACUGGAGAAAGAGCCAGAAAGGGCAAAUUUCUUUGCAAGGACAGUCUAUGGAGUAUAUUAUAAAAUGAUGGCUGUCUUUCACAGAAAUAUUACUAAAAUUGAAUUAAAAAGUAUGCACUUGCAUGUCAAUUUAACCUUUUAAUUUUUCUCCCUUAGCUCAUCCACAUGUUCCCACCUCUUGUAUCUUCCCUUGUAUAAAGCAUCUUCAUUUCAACACUUUUCUCUGUAAAACUCUUCUUUCACUCCCAAACAUUUCUAGCAGAACCCAGCACAGUGUGACUCACAUGUGACAUCCUUCUCAGACCCCCAGGGGAUGGAAACCCUGGCCAGGUUGCUUCAUUACCAAGGAGGGCUGCAAAGUUAUUAUUCAAAUGGUAAAAUUCAUUCAAAAUAAAUCUUGUUGCCUGAGAUGUUAAUGGCUUUAUGUAAGAGUUCACUUAUUUUCUAUUUUCAGGUUUGUGCUAGCAGCCCCUAAAAAAUAAUACUGAAGACGGAGGUGAAAGGACAUCUGUUAAGUGAAGGUUCCAAGGAUCUGUGCUGCUGCAGUGUCAUUCCCACUUGUCCUGUUUUUCACCUUGUGCUUUUCUUUAAGUGAAAGCAUUGAAAACUUGGAAGGAGUUGCAAAACCUACCCCUCCCUCUGCCACAAAUACAAUACAGAUUUUUUCCCAAGAAAAUACAAUACAGGAGAUUUCAGUCUUAAGGUGAACUUGAUUGCAGGCUUCUGACAACCUUUUCAAGGACACAACCCAUGAGACAGAAGGCUAAAUUUGGAUUUGAUCCAUGGCUGGCCAGUAGCUUUCUGUUGAACACAGUCUGCUGGAGGCAACCCUGCCUCAAAAAGUCCCUACACUAACAGUCAGUGGGAGCUGUGAAAGAAAAAGAAGGGAAACACAGCUCAAGGCCCACUACUUACAGCACUGUCCUGAGCCUCCAUUGCUGACACCAUUCAGGACAGUCUCCUGGAGUAAAUCUCAAGAAUUAGAGAAGGUGAGGACCAAACACUCCUCUGAAAUGGUUGAAGACAGAGGGAAUUGUAUAAGCACAAUCUGGACUGCUAUGAGUCUGCUGAAUGUGAUCUGUUAAAAUUUAUAUUGCUGCUUUCCCAUUAAUUCUGAAGACAGUAAAUGGAAAGGUUGAGUUUGUUCUAAGUGUGUCAGAUGUAGCCAUUUCCUCACCAUCUCAAGGAGGCAGAAAUGUCUACACUUGGACAGGUUCUGGCCCCAGAUCCAGCAUGUUACUUAAUAACCUGAAGAUUCCUGGUGGCAGAAGCAAGAGUUAAAGCAAAAAAAUGGCAGAGGACCUAGAUCCUAGUGAUACCAUGGUGGCUUGAGUGUUCUCUGCUCAGUGCAUGUCUCUGCUUCUGGAAGGGGACGAACAGCCAAGAGUGCAUGUGAAACAUCCUGGGCUAAUGUGGAAUGGCACGGGCAUCGCAAUGCGUUAUUCAUACCUGUCUUUCUUUUGGGAGAAUAGCUGCUCUCCUUUGCCGUUCCUGGGCUGGCACUGCUCACCAGUCUCUGAGCAAGAAAUCCAAGCCAAACACCACGUCCAGUGGUUCCUGUCUGGAGAGGACAUGGGUCUUCCACAUUCAGCUGUACUGAAGAAGAUUAUAAUAAAAUAAAAAUGAAUACAAGAUUUUGUUGUUAUUAUCUUCAAUAUUUCUGUUUCUCCUGAGGGAAGAAGCUGAAAGCUGUAAGUGAAUGAUGCCCUGCCAGACAUGACUCCUGAUUGCUGUGACAGGUGAUUUGGAAUGGAAAGGAUGGUAAGAUGGCAGAGAAGCUGAAGUACACAUAUCCAUUGUGUUCUUUCUGUGGAAGACACGAUGCUCAAGAAAUGAUGCAAUGAUGCAAAUCAUGUUUCCAAGGAAAAAGCAGAAAAUCAAAGCAUUCUCAUAGUAACUGUGGUGACAUUAUGGCAUUCUGGAGCCAGGAUAAUGCAGGAAUGGGGGACAGGGCAUGUGAAAUAUUGCCAGUGCACAGCUAUAGCCUCUAGGUUCUAGGGAGCGUGGACCAGCUCCUGUCUACAUGUGGGCCCCUUGCCAUGUGGCAUACAGGGCAAAGGGAGCAUUUUCCUUGUGUGGGAAAUCACAAAGGUGCUGCCCUGUAGACUUCUGGUAAGCCCAGUCCUCCCCUAUUCCAGCUAUGAGGUCUUUAAAGAAUGUGAUUCUUGGAUCUUUAGUCCAUCAGAAAAAUUAUGUGUCUGCAGCCCAGUGAGAUCUGCGUGGGAAAAGCAGAAUUCUUCUCACCUAAUUUAUGAUGUCUCUGCCUCUGACGUAGAUAAUCUGCAUCUGUUCCACUCACUGUAGACUCCCUUGGAGUCAAUGAGGAGGAAUAAACACUUUUAGGACAUGAAUCAUCUGAUGCAUUUUAGACAUUUACAUUAGAGCUGGAUCACUUGCACUGUAGCACUGCCUAUUUCCUCUCUAUUUGAUUAUAGAGAGAACUUGGCUCAGAAAUAGAUGUCACCAUCUAAAGUUAGGUGGGAUGAAUCCCACACAGACAGCCUGUUGUAGAUGUGAUAACUGAAUGGGAGACUCAGGAGCAUCUUUUUUUUCAUGGUGUUCUGAGAAGGAAGCCUAGAAAGGGACUGAGAAGGGGGCGAUGACCAUGUUCUAGAAAAAUCUGUGUGGUUCAGAGAAUGGAAAGUAUGAGAGCUGGAAAGAGCUGGAAAAGGGGAUAAAUACUGUAUUGAGAUGAUUGCAGCUGAUAACAAAUUUUUCAGAACAGUCUAAUCUAAAGCUGACUGCAAAGAGCUGUAGCAGAAUCUCAUAAUACUGUGUAACCAUAUAAAAUAAUGACAAAUGAAAAUUAAUGCUCAUAAGUUAAAAGUAAUGCAAAUGGAAUAAAAAUAAAUCAAACUAUUCCUAUAUAUUAACAGUUGCUAAAUUAGCUAUUGCUAUCCAGGAAACAAAUUUUGGAAUACUGUGAAUAGAUUUCUGGAAACAUCUGAUCCAUGCUCAUGGAAGGUCAAAAGAACAAAUGAAACGCUAUGAACUAUUGAGAAAGGGAUGGAGUAAACUCAGAAAAUGUUCUUAUGUCACUGAAUAAAUUCACAAUGCUUCCACAGCUUGAAGGAGUGUAUAGUUCUUCCCCAGCAGCCUCAAGGCAGGUAUUAGAAAGCUGGAGAUGAGAUAGAGAAGGGCUGCAAGGUGAUCAAAGAGUCACAACAGCAAAGACAGACUUCGGCUUUCCAGUCUGAAAAAGAGAUGGAUGAGAAAGUAAUAUGAUAAAAGCCUCUGGUAUUAUAAAUGGUUUAGGGAAGGUGAAUUGGGAAUUCUUACAUGCAAUUUUUUUGUCCUUGGGGCUGAGAAGAUAUCCAGUGAUAUUAUCAACAGUGAAUUAAAAUAAAAACAACACAAAAGGAGGUAUUUUUUACAAUAUUCAAAAUGAAGUCAUAGUGCUCUUUGCAAGAAAAGGCCAAGAGGACUAAAAAGUAGAUAUUAGAUGAAAUAAAAAGUAUCAACUUCCUGAGUAUUAAACACUGUGAUCCAGUAAAAGUUCCCAAAUAUCGGCUCCUAAACAGCUAAUUGCUGGAAAGCUGCAUUUGUUUUAUCACUGUACUUUUAUUAUAUCAUGGGAUACCUCCAUUUCCUGAAAUGCUGGCUAAUGCAUUCUGUUGAGUCCCUGCUCUGCGCUAAACUUGCAUUUAACCUAAUGCAGUGUGGUGCUUUUUGUGUUUCUAAGUGAGACAAGAGAUUAAGAAAAAGCCAAAAAGGAACAUGGUGGAAGAGGUCAACACCUUGGAGAAUGUUUGUACUAUGGGCUAGGAAGUCAGAGCUGAGUAAGGAAUAGUUGUUGAUUUGCUUGGAUAUAAGCCUGGCACAAUAGAUGGCAAAGAACUUCACUGAAAGGCCACCAAGAUGUAGCAAUGAAGAUUUCUAUCAUUUUCAAUGGGAAAAGCCAUUUGACUUGGGGAAACAGGUGUAAUUUAUUGUUCUUUUUAGUUCAAUGUUAUUGUGAAGGCAGAGAUCUUAGCCUUAGCUGAGGUGUGUUCUGGGUGAGCAGCCCUACUUAAGUACCAUAUCAAAACCACUGGCACUUCAGGCACAAAGAGCUCAGAGCAACAUGGACAGCUGUGGCUGGAUUGCAAAGCAACAGGAAGAUUACUUCCCAAGGGCUGCAGGAUGGACUUUCCUCUCUCUCUCUCCACCCACAGUCAUUAUGCACAGUCCUGGACAUUUAAAGGCUGAAGUAAAUACAACAGACCCUGAUUUAUUCCUUUCCUAAAGGUGCAGUCUGUUAAAAACUAAGGUAAGAAAGUCUAGAAAUCUGAGGGCAGAAAUGCAGUUUUCUAAUAGGAUAACCAGGUGGUGGAUAAUGACAUCUUCAGGGGAGUUGAAUUAUAAGUGUAACUUUUCUCCCUGUGAUUGAACACACUGGAAAGGCUUUAGGUCUGUCUGUGUCCUGAAUUGCUUAUUCCAUAAAUGCUGCUUACAUUAUAAUGAUAUAAUCAGGAUGGCUUAAUGAUGUGAUUAAAAACCCUUCAAUUCUUCUUUGGUUUACAUUUUUGUGUAUAGACAUGGAUUUUUCUUUGCCUGGUAUUAGCAUGCAGAGUUGGAACUAAGUCUUAACCUCUUCUUACUGCAUUCAGGAAAUCAAUUUGUUUUGCUAAAAUGAAAUGGACAUACAGUCUCAAGCAGCUGCAUUCAAGUGUGACUAGAGAUACUCUGACUUCACCAAAGUGUCAAAAAGUGCUCUUACUGCCUGCAUUCUUUUAAACAGAAUAAAG